rnacentral:rRNA from 1 species
GUACACGCUGUGACUAGCAUAUCAAUAAGCGGAGGAAAAGAAACUAACAAGGAUUCCCUCAGUAACGGCGAGUGAAGCGGGAAGAGCUCAAAUUUGAAAUCUUGAAAGGUCACCUUUCACGAAUUGUAGUUUAAAGAAGUGUUUUCUGUUACGAUCGUAAUAUAAGUUCUUUGGAAUAGGACAUCACAGAGGGUGAGAAUCCCGUCUAUGAUUGCGAUUUGUAGCUUUGUGAUACACUUUCAAAGAGUCGGGAUUGUUUGGGAAUGCAGUCCAAAAUGGGAUGGUAAAUUUCAUCUAAGGCUAAAUAUUGGCGAGAGACCGAUAGCGAACAAGUACCGUGAGGGAAAGAUGAAAAGAACUUUGAAAAGAGAGUUAAAUAGUACGUGAAAUUGUCAAAAGGGAAGCGUUUAACACCAGUGUUGUUUUCCUGAAAAUCAACCUCUGUUAGCUUUAUGCAUGUUUGUUUAGACCUAAUCAGCUAUCUUGCAUGUUCUAUUGUUUGCAGUGGUGCACUUUUCAGUUUACAGGUCAACAUCAGUUUUUUUUACCGUAAAAAAGUUAAAGAAAGGUUAGCUCAUGGCUCCGGUCGUGAGUGUUAUAGUCUUUUUCCUAUGCGGUAGGAGAGACUGAGGUCUGCAGUGUAGGCUAUUUGGCUAGAUACUCAGGUGCUAUGUGAUACCAUUUCAUAAACAACUUGUUGAUUAUGUUUUGUCUAUUGCAUACUCGCUUGUACUAUCAUACCUACGCUUAGGAUGUUGAGUAGCGACAUACGCAC